rnacentral:rRNA from 1 species
UGGGGAAUCUUAGACAAUGGGCGCAAGCCUGAUCUAGCCAUGCCGCGUGAGCGAUGAAGGCCUUAGGGUUGUAAAGCUCUUUCAGAUGGGAAGAUAAUGACUGUACCAUCAGAAGAAGCCCCGGCAAACUCCGUGCCAGCAGCCGCGGUAAUACGGAGGGGGCUAGCGUUGUUCGGAAUUACUGGGCGUAAAGCGCACGUAGGCGGACUGGAAAGUCAGAGGGGAAAUCCCAGGGCUCAACCUUGGAACUGCCUUUGAAACUCCCAGUCUUGAGGUCGGGAGAGGUGAGUGGAAUUCCGAGUGUAGAGGUGAAAUUCGUAGAUAUUCGGAGGAACACCAGUGGCGAAGGCGGCUCACUGGCUCGAUACUGACGCUGAGGUGCGAAAGCGUGGGGAGCAAACA